UUCACGUUAGGAUCACACAAUCAAUUACCUCCUGAAUGUAUCGUCUCUAUUUUCAAUAUCUAAACACAUAAGGAAACUAUAAUCUCUUCCUUCACCUUAUCGGUCUCUUCCUUACAGCAAUUCAGUUAUACCAAUAACUGCUAUUUCUACUAAUAUAUUCACCUUCAUAAUCUCCAACUAUAAUAUUACGCCCUCAUAGCUUUCAGCACACAAUUACCUUCAUUUCAAUCUCUAGAAUUCUUCACACAAAACUGCCAUUUACAUUACGGUGUUUCACACAAACACAGACUCAUUCUCUCUACUGAACUACAAUCAGAUUUUAACAUUCAAUCUUUCUUCUUCUCAAAUAAUACCAAUCACAUUUCCAUUCCAUAAUUCACUUCACAAUAUACAGAAACUUUCAAUCAUCUUAUUCAAAGAAAAUAACAAACAAAAGAAAAGAGAUAGCACUAAGCUUAUCCCGACUCACAACUAUCACAGCGAUGGCAUUUUCUUCCCCUCUCCCAUCUUCCUUAUACUACUCCGAGAUACUAAUUCCUAUACUACAGAUGAUAACUACUUUUCUUGACUAUUCAUCUAUUCUACCUGCUAAAGUACUUUUUCAGCAAUUAUCUAUCCCUGUUUACACUAUAUACUAGGUAUCUUCAUUUUGUAAAAUAACUACUUAUUCUACAUAGCCCCAUUCCUAUCUAUGCAACGUCCUCGCAAACACUCAAUUGAUACCUAUCUAAAAAUUAUCUAACAAAACUCUAUAAAAAUUGCGAUCCCUCUGGCCUAUCUAAUUAAUCAAUUGCUGUAGUAUCUGUUAUUGGUUCUAUCGAUUCCGGUUCCAACUGUAAAUCUUUAUCCUCCUCCAAUCCUUCCAUUGGCUCUUACC
rnacentral:lncRNA from 1 species